UGGGUGGUGUUGAGGAUGUUGACGCCCUUGAAGAGGGCGGACGGGCACCCGUGCGACACGGCGGCCACCUGGCC
rnacentral:tRNA from 1 species